GUUAAGCGACUAAGCGUACACGGUGGAUGCCCUGGCAGUCAGAGGCGAUGAAGGACGUGCUAAUCUGCGAUAAGCGUCGGUAAGGUGAUAUGAACCGUUAUAACCGGCGAUUUCCGAAUGGGGAAACCCAGUGUGAUUCGUCACACUAUCAUUAACUGAAUCCAUAGGUUAAUGAGGCGAACCGGGGGAACUGAAACAUCUAAGUACCCCGAGGAAAAGAAAUCAACCGAGAUUCCCCCAGUAGCGGCGAGCGAACGGGGAGGAGCCCAGAGCCUGAAUCAGUGUGUGUGUUAGUGGAAGCGUCUGGAAAGGCGCGCGAUACAGGGUGACAGCCCCGUACACAAAAAUGCACAUACUGUGAGCUCGAUGAGUAGGGCGGGACACGUGGUAUCCUGUCUGAAUAUGGGGGGACCAUCCUCCAAGGCUAAAUACUCCUGACUGACCGAUAGUGAACCAGUACCGUGAGGGAAAGGCGAAAAGAACCCCGGCGAGGGGAGUGAAAAAGAACCUGAAACCGUGUACGUACAAGCAGUGGGAGCCUCUUUAUGGGGUGACUGCGUACCUUUUGUAUAAUGGGUCAGCGACUUAUAUUCUGUAGCAAGGUUAACCGAAUAGGGGAGCCGAAGGGAAACCGAGUCUUAACUGGGCGUUAAGUUGCAGGGUAUAGACCCGAAACCCGGUGAUCUAGCCAUGGGCAGGUUGAAGGUUGGGUAACACUAACUGGAGGACCGAACCGACUAAUGUUGAAAAAUUAGCGGAUGACUUGUGGCUGGGGGUGAAAGGCCAAUCAAACCGGGAGAUAGCUGGUUCUCCCCGAAAGCUAUUUAGGUAGCGCCUCGUGAAUUCAUCUCCGGGGGUAGAGCACUGUUUCGGCAAGGGGGUCAUCCCGACUUACCAACCCGAUGCAAACUGCGAAUACCGGAGAAUGUUAUCACGGGAGACACACGGCGGGUGCUAACGUCCGUCGUGAAGAGGGAAACAACCCAGACCGCCAGCUAAGGUCCCAAAGUCAUGGUUAAGUGGGAAACGAUGUGGGAAGGCCCAGACAGCCAGGAUGUUGGCUUAGAAGCAGCCAUCAUUUAAAGAAAGCGUAAUAGCUCACUGGUCGAGUCGGCCUGCGCGGAAGAUGUAACGGGGCUAAACCAUGCACCGAAGCUGCGGCAGCGACGCUUAUGCGUUGUUGGGUAGGGGAGCGUUCUGUAAGC
rnacentral:rRNA from 1 species